UACGUAGGGUGCGAGCGUUAAUCGGAAUUACUGGGCGUAAAGCGUGCGCAGGCGGUUUUGUAAGCCAGAUGUGAAAUCCCCGGGCUUAACCUGGGAAUGGCAUUUGGGACUGCAAGGCUGGAGUUUGGCAGAGGAGACUGGAAUUCCUGGUGUAGCAGUGAAAUGCGUAGAUAUCAGGAGGAACACCGGUGGCGAAGGCGGGUCUCUGGGCCGAUACUGACGCUGAGGAGCGAAAGCGUGGGGAGCGAACAGG
rnacentral:rRNA from 1 species